GGACGUUUGAAUAUAAUAUACAAAUUCAUAUUUACAGGUUUUUUUUUUUUUAUCAUAAUUUUUGUUUGUUCUUUAUUAUAAUAAUAAUAAUUAUAAUAAUAAUAAUAAUAAUAAUAAUAAUAAUAAUAAUAUCAUUGUUCCUAAAACGUUUAUCUAUAAAAAGUGACAUUUAUAAGUAAUAAUAAUAAUAAUAAUAAUAUUACAAUAAUUAUAUUGUAGCCUAGACGGCUAAAACAAUUGAGCACAGAACACUCAAACUGGUAAUCUUAAUUUACACAACAUCAUAUUAGUAUUACAUGAUAAUAAUACGCAAUAUUAAUAAUAUACUUAUAAAAUACAACAUAAUCAAUCGGUGUAUUUUAAAUGUGUUUUAUUUUUCGUCGGUAUUGUUAUUCACACGGAAACGACUUACAGUAUCAUACUAUGUAUUUCAGUAAAAUUUGCACUUGUUGUAAAAAAAAAAAAAAAAAAAAAAGAGAAAAAACCGUGGAUGUGGGCGAAUGGGGAGGGAAUACAAAAUUAUUAUUAUUAUUAUUAUUUAUGUUUUUACAAAAUAUCUACAAAACAUUUACAAACCACAACCGGUUUGGGAAACAACAACAAAAAAAAAAUUCCGCCCAUCAUCGGGCAUGUUAACCUUUCAAAGCCAUUUAUUUUAUUUUUUUGUUUAUAAUAAUUUUCAUUAAAGACGAAAAUAAUCGUCUAUAAUAAAAAUUACGUAUGCAAUUAUAUGAUUAGCCGUGGAUACUAAUUCAUGAUACCAAAAAGACGUACUUGUUAUUGGAUUCGGUUUCCAUCCGCAGUAAACGAUAUUAUAUAGCUUUUAAUUAUUAUGUUAUGUACACUUGCAGUGUUCAGAAACCAAAAAUCGAGAAUAUAUUAUGGUACAACAUUGGAUUGUUUGAUAAAAUGGACCUGUCUCCUCUUUGCGGUUCGCAGUUAUUUAGAAUUAAACUGCCGUGCUGCCGCACAUACUCACGGAAGGGGUUCAUCGUCGCGAAUUUCGAAAGAGAAAAGAAAUUACCCAUGCGGGUUCGUAGACGACCGCCUACACCGUUGUCGAUAAUGUUUUAAAUACCCUGCACAAGUCUACGAAGAGAGAAUGAAAAAUACGGUGGUUCAGUCGCGGGCGAAAAAAGAAUAAAAUACAGAUGUGACAAUCGGAUAGCGUCGGUUAUGUAAACGAAUAUGUCGUUAUAAAAAACUGAAAUGAAAAAAAAUAAAAAUUACUAUUUUAAUCUAUCGAUUUAUAGACGGGUAUAUUUCGGCAGUAUGGCACCGGAUGAGAAAAACCGUCCUACAAAUCUGAACUACGGCGCAUAAAGAUACGGGGGAACGAUAUAGUUUUAUACUUUUCAAAUGUAGGGCUAUCGUUCGAAUUGGACAGAAGUCUGCUAUAUUAUAAUAUUGGUCGAAAUCCCUUAUUGUAAUAAUAUAUAAUAAUAAUGUAUAUUUCAAAUCACGGUUAUGAAGGCCAGCAGCUUAUGCGUCGAGCAAUUGAUGUAUUAUGUGACCGGUUGGUCGUGAUGGUUCGUCGUUGGUCAUCAUUUUGCAUAAUGUAGACGUGCUCCCAGAACGCUCUGAUUGGCUGGAUCGCCCGUGCAUUCCCCCAGCGUUAGUCAACAAAAAAAUUUGUUCCGAUGAAGUGUCUGUAUGUUAAAUAUCAAUCUAAAACCUAUUCGACGCGAAACCACGAUGGGUUUAGAUGCAAGGGAAAAUCUCGCAACAGUUUCCAGUGAUCGACGGAUUCGAACCGGACGUUAUCGGUUAUAAGGACGUCGCGUUAAACCGUUGAAACGUCAUCAGAAUGACUUGUGUGACACCUACUUAAAAAUAUAGGCCGUGUUUCCGAGUGUAUAUGCAUAUCAGAAGAACGCAUAACCGGGCCAGAACUUGUUAUGGACCGUUGUUUUUGAUGAAUUUCGGAACAGACGCGGUCAAUACCUUUUUUGGUGGCACUUGCGGUCACUAAUUUUUGUUUUUUUUUUUUUAUGUACCUACGAAUUGGUUUUACAAUAUUGACAUUCGUGUUCAUAAUAAUAAUAAUAAUAAUAGUAAUUUGUUUAGUUCUGUAAAAACGAUUCAAAUUAGGAGCUGAGCACAUGGAAAUGUAUUGUUUGAUCACUUUUUGAACGCGGAAAGAAAAAAUAUUAUGUGAACAUCGAGAACAGAAUUGACAUCACAUUAAAAUCAUAACACGAAGAAGGCAGUUAGUUAAACAAAUUACCUAGACAGUCUUUCUUUUGUCCAAACACUUGCUUAAAAAUAAAUCAUACAAAAAUAACUGAAGUAUCUUAAUAAAAUAAACAGAGACAAAAUUUAUAGAAAUUGAUAGUUAUAAUUAUAGGUAAUAUAAAAAUGUUUUUAAAUAUAAUAUAUAUUCUAAAAAGAACAUUUACGCGUGUCGGCAACGAUUAAAUUAUUUGUUAUCUAGACUUUUUUCCUAAGCCUGUCAAAUUUCGAAGGAAGGUUUUAGUUUAGUUUAUUAUGUUUGACAUUAUUCAAAAUUAUUAUUACUAUUAUUAUUAACGCGUAUAGUAUGUCAACAUGGUAUAAUUAGACGGUAGAUAAAAGAGAAACCAAGUGACCACAAACGUGUAGACCGCGUCUGUGCCGACAUCCCCGUGACGCGGACAACUGGCAGCACGGUGCAGGGCAUAAUGACAAAAACAACGGCGACCUGCAACGAAUCGAGCGGCGUUUCUCCGUGCGAAGAAAACGUGUGUACAAUUACCCGAACACCGUCGCUACAAUUGUUUCCUAUAGUUAAUAAUAGUGUUAUUGCUUUCUAACAGAUCGCGCUCGAGUCACUAUGUUUUCCCGGCCUCCGGAAUUCCGUGUUGAAACUCGAUCGCAAUAUUAUUAGCGCCGUCGCCCGUCCAUAUUAAUAACAUUGUAUUAGUCGACGAGUUUAAUAUGUCGCCGCCACUGCGUAAUGUGUAUUACAGGUAUUCUAUUGGCACGGAGUGGUGCUAGUUAACCGCGUCAAUAGCUGCGGUCUGUGACGAGUUCCGGCAACAGUUUUCGCACUCGACGCAUAACCGCGCGGGUUUCGCGGGACCAUAAUAUUGUUAUGGUUAUUGAAAAAUCCACGUGAUAUGAAAAAAAAAAAAAAAUAAUAAUAAUAAUAAUAAACCGACCGGUCGGUUGCCGCGCGAGUAUCAAUAGCCGUAAUACUACACAUUUUUUUUUCCCGAUAUUACACCGUUAAUAAAAGAAAAUUACAAAAUUAUAAUAACUUACUGAAGUAGUACUGAGACAAGUUAUAAUAAUAAUAAUAAUAAUAAUAAUAAUAAUAAUAAUAUAAUACCUAUAGUUUGUACGGUUGUGCGCGUACACCCGACGGAUAGGUACCGAAAAUAACGUUAAAAUUGUUGGCAGUUAUAAUGUUAUAAUGUUACGAGUAUAAUAUAAUAGGUAGGCACGGCCGUACGAACUCGGUACUCCGCGGCUCAGCGGAUGACCUUACAAUAUUUAUAAUAAUGUUUUAACAAUACAAGACACGAUUCGACUGUUAUUCGAUUAUUUAAAGACAAUAAUAAUUAUAAUUUAAUAUAUAAUAUUAUCGCGUAUAUAUUUAAAAGUAAAAGUAACCCUGGUAAAAUAUGUACACACGUAAACCAAAUAUUUCAACAACGAUAUUUAUGUAGAGUAAAUUACAAGGUAUAUAAUAUUAAUGUUAUGUUCGUGACGCGGGUAAAUGUCGCGGUAUUUCUUUGAUCGUACGCGUGACAAACGGUUGUCGGAUAUCCGUGUUUAUGCGGACUCGAUCGGUUUGUUUGUUUUUAGUUUUUAUAGGAAGGGGAUGAAAGAUCGGCGCGAGGGGUGGGCGGGGGGCGGGGGGGAUGUUAGGCACAAUUUUUACGGUCUGGUCCGCCCGGACGGCGGCGAGCGCUUCGAUAUCCAAGGAGACGGGUACUCGCCGGAGAAACCCGAUACGGCUGCCACAACUGUGUGUAACGUGUCUGUGUACGGGCCACAGACCUUAUGCUGGUAGACGAGUGGUAACGAUUACGCUCCGGGCGUGGGAGGAUAGAGGGCGCUUUUCGGUGACCGAGUGACAACGCGUUUCUCGUCUGCGUUAGUGCAAGGCAGUGGUCGUCGACCGGGAUGACGCGGACCCGGCGUAGAGAUGACGCGAAGUCAUCGGGGAGAAGUAAACAAAACGAAUAAGAGAACUUCAAAAUUCGUUUAGAAUAAUAUCGUAUUGUCGCCACCAACGCCACCCGAACAACAACAUAUAAUAACAUUUCCACUUCGUCAUUCAUUUUCAACGAUCCGCGGCUAGGAUUUCCUAUAAUCUUAAUGGCUCGUGCUUUGGUAGGGCGACUCGGCGUCGGACAAGGGCGACAUGAACCAAUAAAGUCCGAGGACCACAAGGUCCGUGGUACGGGAACCUGCACUUUUUUUACGUCAUUAUAGUGACCCCGCGGAACAAUAUCGUUAUCGUUAUUAUUAUUUCGCACGGCAAAAACGUUUGUCACGGACGUUUAAAAAACUGUCGCGACAUUUGCCCCGGCGUCACCGUCGUAUCACCUUACACUAUCAUCGUACACCAAAUUAUAUACUACCGUAGUACGUAUCUUAGAUACGGGCGCGUGGUACGACGUUAUAACAUUAUUCAUUAUUUAUUGCGCGAAAACCUAUGAACAAUAAUACGUAAUAUUAUUUAUUAUAUUUUAAUUUAAUUAAAAAUUUUUUUUUUUUUUUAUACACAUAAUAUAAACAUCGUAAUUUUAUUAUUAUAUUGUUCUGAUAUCUCGGUCGCGAUGCGUGAGCGUCUGAGAUCCACCGGGUCGACUCGACCGUUGUCGUCGUCGUCGUUGAACAUGGUUAUUUUACGAGCCUUGAGGGUUCGGGCGUGUAUGCGAAAAAACUAUAAAAUAACGGGCGGUAUGGCGGUGAUUUUUAGUAAGAGAAAAAAAAAACAGACCAUAAAAGAAAACCUGAGAAAAUUUUUGUUUUUAUUUAAUCCACGUCCGAAAGAUGAAUAAAAAAAAAAAACCUAACCACGACAUAAUAAUAUAGGUACGGUUAAUGGGGGAUCGCUACACCACUUGGUGGGCGGGCGGGGGAGGGGAGGGACGGAUAAAAUCCGAACGUCAUUUUCGGGGCGCACGUCUAUCCUACGCCGCAGAUGCCGAAAGGCCGAGAAAAAAGAGAAACCCGUAUAAACGACAUUUUAUCGGCGUCUGUUUUUGUCCGACGAUAUAUCAUGAUUGUAUUAUGCGUACAGUGACGAAAAAAAAUUUGCGAACCGACCCGCGAGAUUGGAAAACAGAAAGAUCGUAAAAAAUUAACGGGAAAACGAGCGACGGUACGUUUUCAGGUAAUAAUAAAAAAAAUAAAAACGUUCCUCUCGCGGACACGAUUUUAGCGAAUCAUUUUACGACAAUCAGUAUUAUUUAGCGCAUACGACGGUACGCGUUUUGGCGCGAAUUGUAACGAUUGAGAUUAUAAAAAAAAUUAAUCCAACUGGGCCAUUUUAUUGUUGCCGUUUUUUAAUAAUAGUAAACGCAGUAUUCGAAUCGGGGGAAAAACGGAGACGGACGCGCGGCGGGUUUCAGUUUAGAAAUCGUUAGCGGAUAAACGAUUGCACGACGACUACAGAUCACCCCUGAACACUAAGUUCAUUUUUAAAUUUAUUUCAGUGUAAAAAAAUUGCAUGAAUGUAAAAAAAAAAACAAAAUUAAUAUUUUUGAAUUUAUGAGUUAUUUAUGAGUUACCGGACGAUCAUUAUUAUAACGCGGCUUGACGGAAAUCGAAAAUGUUAUUCAAAACCUAAAACCCCGUCUAUUAAUGGAAUGUUUAACUUUUUUGAAAAUCAAAACGUGUUAAGUAGUUUUUCGAUCCAUUUGAGAGUUGCAUAUUUCUUAUUAACAUGAAAUACAAUCCAGUAUUACGUAUUCGAAUUGUAAUCAAAUAUAAAUUACGUAUACGCAGUUUGAAUUUAAUAUAUUACGGAAAAGUCGAACGCAGACGAGAACGUGCAAUUUCGAAUAAAAAUUGACAUCGCGACAUUUUACUUUAGAUAUUAUAUUUUCGGAAGGAUUUUUUUCCAUAGCUCUCUUGUGCCAAAUUCUUUAAUCGCGAACGCGAAACAAUUCAAUUUCGGUGUAAUGCAAUCUGUACGAAGACAUUGAAGGGAACUCCGUUCGCACACGUCCCCUCACUCACCCACUAAAAUUCGAGCACGGGGUAAACGGUGUGUUUAUUUGGCCAGGUCAACGUACGUUUUUCUUUUUCAAACGAUAAUGCGGCGGUCGAAACGAUCAAAACGAGUAUGGAACACCCAGAGUCGGCCUAGUGCUGUUGUUACUAUCAAUCUCAAAUGAAAAUGUGCUUAAAAACAUCGCAUUACUUGGUCAAUACCAUGACGCACCCCUUACAUCCGCCUUCGCCCAUCUCUUUAUUACGUAUAAUAUUUACUACAGAAAUUCGCACACUGGCCGUUAAUAUACAAUAAUACAAUAACAAUAUCAUAUUCUUAUAAUAAUUAUGAUAAUCGUAACGUUAAGUACCUAUCGACUAUCGAUAUUAUUAUAUUGCAUGGUUAAUAAUAAGAUAUUUGUAACAUUUAUACUAAAUAUACAUAAUAGUGACCCUGCAAUUUGUUUACAAGUAUAACAUAUACAACAUUAUUAAUUGUUAUCAGUAAUAUUGUUGGUAAAAUAAUAUAAUAUACAAUACCUAGAUAAUAAUAAUGGUUAAUAUUGCAUUGGUAUUAUUUGGUUUUUUUUGUUUUUGUUUUGUUUUUUCUUUUUGUUUUUUUGUAUUUUGUUUUUUUGUUUUUUUUUUUUGUUUUUUGUUUUUUUUUUUUUAAUGCGUACAUAGUUUAUUAUAAUAUUUCAAUUUGAAUAAUAACCUACCUACCUAUAUUAUUAAUUUUCUUAUGAGCUUAAUAACGUUUAAAGUCCAGGGGAUUCGAAACGGGACGCUGGAGUAUUCCAUUAUCUUUCUUUGCCUACCAAAUAAUAAUACCUUGGUAGGUACCGUAGGAACGUCCGAGACCGGAUUUUAAUCUAUAAGCCCGAUAGACGCAGUGAAACGAUAACAUUAUCUGAAAACGUGAAACUGAAGCGUUAAGUGUACACGAGAUCGGCUUGGAUAACCGUUACAAUUUAUAUAUAUAUAUAUAAAUUUCUUUUUCAAAAUGUCCACAUUUUCCAAAUAGAUUUUUCGAAAUUACGGACUGUAGUUUGAAAAAAGUGGCCUGGCCGAUAUCGCGCACAUUUCACGUUGAAUUCAAAUCUGUUUUCAGAACUCUUAACGCGUCGGUACAGUGAUCGGACUGAAUCGGGCAAAUUGGUCUAUAUUGUUGUGCUACGCACCUGUGCGUUAUGAGAUAGACGAACAAAGAUAAGGGAAUUGGCCUGUUUCGUUCCGAAACCUCUUAAUUUAUAAUUUAUAAACAAACGUCGUAUGCGCUGUCGUAAACAUACUGUGGUCGCGAGCUGAAAAAUAUCGUACGCGCUGAAUUUUCAUUUUAUUCCGAGUACGUUAUUACAACAUUAACAAUUUACGCGGAUAAAAAAUCUGGCAACGUACGGCGACGAGCUAUCUCACGGACUACAGACGGAGGCCACUAUGACGCGUAUUAACUGUCAACGGGAGAAUUUCGACGCCCCUGUAGAAACGCCGUAAAAUAAUGCGCGCAAACGAUGAACCGAAGAAGAAAAAGACAAAGAAAAAAAAAAAAAAACGAACGUGGAAAAGAGAGAAAACGUUUUGAUUUUUUUCGUUCCUAUACGUACGAAAUACAUUUGACGACACUAUAUUACAGUGCCGUUAGUCGAGUACCAUGCACGGACGCUGGACAAGGAUAGCCCCCCCACCCCCCCCGAAAACCUCACAGUUACGACCAGAGUCAUUUUAAGGGAGGCGAAGCGCCCACUUGGCCGGGGGUCAUCUCGGAUUGGUAAAAUUAUCGGACACCCGUACAUUAUAGUAUUCGUUAUUAAUAUUGUUGUAAUUAAUUAAAAAAAAAAAAAAAAUAAUAAUAAUAAUAAUAAUAAAACAGUUGCAAGCGAAUUAUAUAAUUAUGAAAUUUCGUUUUUACUCCCGCGGGGGCCUGUAUGCAGGCGCUCAACACAAAGCUCCGGUAACGAUAAAAUAACAAUAAUACUCGUACGAUAUUAUCGUGUAUCGAAGACGACAACGCCGAUGGACCUUCGGUGGCCUUCGCGUACAAAUUUAAUGUACAAUAAUUAAUACUUAAUAUUAGAAAUACUUUGAAUAGUAAAAUAAUAAUUUUCGUAAAAACUGUCCGCGGAUGUGCGUUGACAUUGACUCUCGGAUGAUUUUCGUUUCCGCGCAUCGGGCGAUGCGUGGGGAGGUACGCCUAUAGUUUUUGCGGAGAGACGCGCGACCUACGUCAAUGUUUGUAUUCGGGAAAAUGUGUUUUGUUGUUGAGCAGUGCGGAUCGCUCGUUGCAGACGGUGUUGUUGGCGGCACUGGAGUCGGUCGGGCCGGAGCGGCUGCUGUAAUCGUUGACCGUCGUCGUCGUCGUCGUCGUCGUCGUCGUCGUACGGGCGGGUAAAGUGCCGGUGAUCGGGUAGUAGUUGGCUAUCGGGUUGUUGG